CAGGCUGGUUUGAUGGUUGUC
rnacentral:miRNA from 1 species